GUGCCAGCAGCCGCGGUAAUACGUAGGGCGCAAGCGUUAUCCGGAAUUAUUGGGCGUAAAGAGCUCGUAGGCGGUUUGUCGCGUCUGCUGUGAAAACCCGAGGCUCAACCUCGGGCCUGCAGUGGGUACGGGCAGACUAGAGUGCGGUAGGGGAGAUUGGAAUUCCUGGUGUAGCGGUGGAAUGCGCAGAUAUCAGGAGGAACACCGAUGGCGAAGGCAGAUCUCUGGGCCGUAACUGACGCUGAGGAGCGAAAGGGUGGGGAGCAAACAGGCUUAGAUACCCUGGUAGUCCACCCCGUAAACGUUGGGAACUAGUUGUGGGGGCCUUUCCACGGUCUCCGUGACGCAGCUAACGCAUUAAGUUCCCCGCCUGGGGAGUACGGCCGCAAGGCUAAAACUCAAAGGAAUUGACGGGGACCCGCACAAGCGGCGGAGCAUGCGGAUUAAUUCGAUGCAACGCGAAGAACCUUACCAAGGCUUGACAUAUAGAGGAAAGUUCUGGAAACAGUUCCCCCGCAAGGUCUCUAUACAGGUGGUGCAUGGUUGUCGUCAGCUCGUGUCGUGAGAUGUUGGGUUAAGUCCCGCAACGAGCGCAACCCUCGUUCUAUGUUGCCAGCACGUAAUGGUGGGAACUCAUG
rnacentral:rRNA from 1 species